GAUGAACGCUGGCGGCGUGCCUAAUACAUGCAAGUCGAGCGAACGGACGAGAAGCUUGCUUUUCUGAUGUUAGCGGCGGACGGGUGAGUAACACGUGGAUAACCUACCUAUAAGACUGGGAUAACUUCGGGAAACCGGAGCUAAUACCGGAUAAUAUUUUGAACCGCAUGGUUCAAAAGUGAAAGACGGUCUUGCUGUCACUUAUAGAUGGAUCCGCGCUGCAUUAGCUAGUUGGUAAGGUAACGGCUUACCAAGGCAACGAUGCAUAGCCGACCUGAGAGGGUGAUCGGCCACACUGGAACUGAGACACGGUCCAGACUCCUACGGGAGGCAGCAGUAGGGAAUCGUCCGCAAUGGGCGAAAGCCUGACGGAGCAACGCCGCGUGAGUGAUGAAGGUCUUCGGAUCGUAAAACUCUGUUAUUAGGGAAGAACAGAUGUGUAAGUAACUGUGCACAUCUUGACGGUACCUAAUCAGAAAGCCACGGCUAACUACGUG
rnacentral:rRNA from 1 species